rnacentral:snoRNA from 1 species
UUGUCUGGCGGUGAUGACCCACUUGCCCUCACUGAGGACAAAGUUCGAUAAUGAGAAUCUUUGUUAUGGACUCGUUCUGAGCCAGACA